rnacentral:tRNA from 1 species
GGGCCUGUAGCUCAGCGGUUAGAGCUGACCGCUCAUAACGGUUAGGUCGCAGGUUCGAAUCCUGCCGGGCCCACCA